rnacentral:hammerhead_ribozyme from 1 species
AUCCAGCCGACGAGUCCCAAAUAGGACGAAAUGCACAUCUUGGAC